rnacentral:other from 1 species
CGCCGCCUGCGGUGUUCGAUGCGUGUCGGGUUACCUCUCGACCCUAACGUAAAUACCCCAGGGGCCCGGUCUCGCGGCAGUUGUGUGCAGACCCGUCACGGACGGGAAGCCUUCGCUGCCGUGGCUGCGCCCCACCUAUUGCUCCGUGUCGAGAGCAAUGGCGCGCAACGGCACAGGCGGGUGGCGC